rnacentral:rRNA from 1 species
GACAGAGGGGGCAAGCGUUGCUCGGAAUUACUGGGCGUAAAGGGCGCGUAGGCGGGAUGGCAAGUCGGUCGUGAAAUCCCUCAGCUCAACUGGGGAACGUCGAUCGAAACUGCCGUUCUUGAGGAUUGCAGAGGAGACUGGAAUUCCCGGUGUAGCGGUGAAAUGUGUAGAGAUCGGGAGGAACACCGGUGGCGAAGGCGGGUCUCUGGGCAAUUCCUGACGCUGAGGCGCGAAAGCGUGGGGAGCAAACGGG